UACGGAGGGUGCGAGCGUUGUCCGGAAUCACUGGGCGUAAAGGGCGCGUAGGCGGCGCGGGAAGUCAUCGGUGAAAGCUCAGGGCUCAACUCUGAGUCGGCCGGUGAUACUCUCGUGCUUGAGCACUGUAGAGGCAGGUGGAAUUCCGGGUGCAGCGGUGGAAUGCGUAGAGAUCCGGAAGAACACCGGUGGCGAAGGCGGCCUGCUGGGCAGUAGCUGACGCUGAUGCGCGACAGCGUGGGGAGCAAACAGG
rnacentral:rRNA from 1 species